rnacentral:misc_RNA from 1 species
GUAUUUGAUUAUUAUAGGCACGUAGGCCCAUUGAUCACAUUCUACAACAUACUAUGUGGUAUAUGAAUACAUAGUACUCGAGGGAGAGGUUUUGCAAGUCAUUUGAGAAGAGCUGUAUGCUUUCACACUCAGCAUUCCUCACGUCCGAAAAGGCCAUAUAGCCAUCCGAUAGUCGACUGCUCUCAACCCCCAAGACUACAAAAGGUGCACAGGUGAACGAAUAAAGUCAAGACAAGUGUGCACAUGCCCCGGAGAGCCAGCUACAACCCAUCAAGAAUAUUCAAUAAUGAUCCUUCCGCAGGUUCACCUACGGAAA